rnacentral:rRNA from 1 species
GAUGAACGCUGACAGAAUGCUUAACACAUGCAAGUCAACUGUGGCGGACGGGUGAGUAACGCGUAAAGAACUUGCCUCACAGUUAGGGACAACAUUUGGAAACGAAUGCUAAUACCUGAUACUGUGAGAGAGCUUUGCGUCCCAUUAGCUAGUUGGAGAGGUAACGGCUCACCAAGGCGAUGAUGGGUAGCCGGCCUGAGCGGGUGAUCGGCCACAAGGGGACUGGGGCGCGGCCAUUAGGCCGACGGGGGGCAGCGGUGGGGAAAAUUGGACAAUGGACCAAAGUCUGAACCAGCAAUUCUGUGUGCAAGAUGAAGUUUUCGGAAUGUAAAGUGCUUUCAGUUGGGAAGCGGUACCAACAGAAGAAGUGACGGCUAAAUACGUGCCAGCAGCCGCGGUAAUAC